AGAAUCAACGCUGGCGGCGUGCCUAACACAUGCAAGUCGAACGAGAAAGUGGAGCAAUCCAUGAGUAAAGUGGCGCACGGGUGAGUAACACGUGACUAACCUACCCUUGAGUGGGGAAUAACUGAGGGAAACCUUAGCUAAUACCGCAUAAUACCUACGGGUCAAAGGAGCAAUUCGCUUAAGGAGGGGGUCGCGGCAGAUUAGCUAGUUGGCGGGGUAAUGGCCCACCAAGGCAGUGAUCUGUAUCCGGCCUGAGAGGGGCGCGACGGACGACCGACCUGGAACUGAAACACGGUCCAGACUCCUACGGGAGGCAGCAGUGGGGAAUUUUGCGCAAUGGGGGAAACCCUGACGCAGCAACGCCGCGUGGAGGAUGAAGCCCCUUGGGGCGUAAACUCCUUUCGAUCGGGACGAUUAUGACGGUACCGGAAGAAGAAGCCCCGGCUAACUUCGUGCCAGCAGCCGC
rnacentral:rRNA from 1 species